rnacentral:lncRNA from 1 species
CAAGCUAACUACUUUUUAAAAAAUAUUUUUUUUUAACUAACUAGCGGAUGGAUAGAUAAAUAAAAAAACCUCAUUAGUCCUAAAAAUCCUAAAUUCCAAGACCAUAACCCACAAAAACCUUUAUGUCUUUCAAUCUAAUACUUCAAUCAAAUCCAAAUUCAUAGCACACAUCAAAUACAACUGUACCUACAAACCUAGAAAUUUUUUCUUAUAGAUCUAUUGCCAAACUUACAAAAUUCUUCAAAAAGUAUCACCCAU